rnacentral:lncRNA from 1 species
AACUAUAUCUACAUAUCACAUGGAUUACAUUGAAAUCAAAUAACAACCAUUUUAAAUUAACAAAUCCAGCACAAAAUAUUUACAAUAUCUAAAAGGUGCAAGGUAUUUGAUGGGCUUAAGGAAUAUCAACCGAAUACUUCAUCCAAAUUCAAUUUCCACAAUGAUAAAAUGAAUUAAAAGAUUGAUACAGUAAAUAAUAAUAAAACAAUUUUCACUUUCUAAACUUCAUCAAAUUAAAAUAAAACAAUAAAUUGAGAAGAAAAAAAAAGUUAAUGGGUGUCUUUCUCCUAGACGUUGUUCCUGCAUUUUCGUACUCUCCUUUUCGAAUAAUCAACAUCAUUUGCUUAAAAUUUGAUUUAAUAACCUAAUCGAACUAAUAAAAAUUAAUUAUGAAACUAUUUGAAAAUAUAUAUAAGCAAAUAAACAACUUAAGGAAUACAUAUUAAAUAUCCAACUUUAAGCAAUGCGAAAUAAAAUGAAUCGCAUCACAGACACAAGCAUGCUUAUAUCAUUCCUACGAUAUUUACAGCAUAAGGUACACAUCAAUGAACCUAAUUUAUUAUAUCCAACCUAUUAUGACACUUAAAUAUUUAAACAAUAAUUCCAUGUAAAUAUAAAAUAAAAGGAUCAGUAAAACAAAAUAAGCAAAAGAAUGUUGGUUUGACUUUUCAAACAUUUUUAAAAAACAUAAACCCAAAUUCACUUUAGAAAAACACAUAAACUCAGUGACAUAAUAAUUUGUUUAAAGCAUAAAAGAGAAAGGAAGUGAACGAUCAACCAGAGCAAAACAGAGUGCGAAGGCAGAAGAUGGCGGUGCAAAGGAGCUUUACACCGACAAUGAGGAGUUACUCUGAAGGUUGUUUGAUUAAGACUUGGGAGUCGCCGACGGUUUGGAUGAAGGAGGUUGUCGUUGGAGUUCGGCUUGUGAGUUGCGAAUGUGGCUUUAAGUCUUCACGCCAUGAAUAGUGAAGUUCAUGUGUUGUUUAUGGUGAAAGUGAAAACAUGUGGUUAUUGUUGUGGCUACAAGGAGAAUGCGGCGAUCGGAAAUGGAGUAAGUGGUUGUGUCGUUGAGUUGUGGUGGUACGGCGGAGAAAUUAUGAUGUAGACGGUGGUUUCCGGAAGAUUAUAGAUCCGGAGGUGGGUAUGGGUUUUUAUGGUUAGUGGCGGAUGGAAAACACAGUGGAAGAAAUGGGGAGGUUUUGCCGGCGAAUAUUGGCGGUGACGGAGGAAUGGAGAAGGUGCGGCGGAUGCGCGUUGAAGGGAGAAUGUGGGUUGUCGUUGGGUUUGUCCAUGGCGGUGGCGGUGGAGUAAGGUGAGAGCGUUUGUGGUCCGCGGAGGAAGAAGAUGAACAGUCCUUUUUUAGUGGACUCCGCUGCCUUUUUCUUAAUGGAGCCUCUUGACCUUUUAUUUCUUUUCUGCAUUUUUCAGCUAGCUCCUCCCUCUCUUGACGUGUCAUCCUUUAAGUGGAUGGCCUUAUCUUUAUUUCCAGCUUUUCUCUUCUUGUUUUUUUGGCCCGUUAGAAUCAUGGCGUUGGAUAACCGCGUGGCACUUUCUCAUUGAAUGGAGAUAAAAUACCUUUGUUGGAGACAGGCUGGCCACGUUCCCCUUCAAUACCAAUCCUAAAACCAAUUUUGUUUUCCCCUUUCAUUGGGAGUUGGACGCGUGGUUGAGGAAUGGGCUCGAAGGAGAAUCCAAUGCAGAUGCUUCCAUCACCCUUUGUUAUUUUGAAUAGCAAUUAAAAUAUAAAAUAAAAUUAACCACUUAAAAUAAAGUCAAGUUAAUCACCCAAUUAAUUCUAAUUAAUUCAAAUGACUAUUUUGGCUAAGAGAUAAAAAUAAAUGGAUCAAUGAUGAAUAAAAGUCAGGCAUAAAAUUUACUCAAAAAAUUAAAUCGGAUGCACUAAAAUGAUCAGCACGAAACAUACUUAUUGGAAAAAUACAGCGUUUCUUUUAAUUUUGAAAUAAAUUUUCACCGGUUAAAAGGCUCAAAUGGAUUAAAAUGCAGCUGAAAAAGUCAUUGAAAAAUAUAACGAGCACACCAGGCUGAACUGCGCGAAGUGUAGAUUAAUAAUACUGGCGUCUGUAAGCUUAAUUUCGAAACUUUUUACCCGCUGAUUUUGCACGUACUUGAGAAGUGAUUUAACCAAUUUAUCUGUGUAGCGGGGUAUUCGUUACCUUUAGAUUUAUUGACUAAAUAAAAAGUAAAUCAUACAAUUCGAGUCGCCACCGCACUUCUAUUUAUCCAAAGGAAAGGUUAGAAAGCGAACAAAAACUGAGAAGUUUAUCGAAUCAAAAACUAAUAAAAAUGUCAGAGAUCGGGGUAAGGGGGUUGGUUAUGCAAUGGGUAGGUUUUAAGCACCCAAAACAUCCUAGGUACUCCUAGGGAGCCCUUUUCACAAUUUGUUGUAAGGUAGGUUGGUAUUUGGAAAAAAUUAUUUGUACAAACAUGAUUGGGGAGAUGAGAGAAGAAUGUACAAAUUAUUUACAAUUUUGUGUUUGAAUGGAUAAACCCAUUGCCUACGUACUAUCUUAAAAAAGGAUUAGGAUCAAAACCUCGUAGUUCGGGAUAAAAAUCUCAAAACAAGUUGGUGAAUUGAUUGGUCCAAAAGCCUCAAGGUCUUUUGUUAUCCAAGGGAGAAAACUCGACCUAAAACCACAAAUCCACCAUGUGAGGAUAGCUUCAACAUGCUAGUGAGGGGUUAACCCUAUAAUAAGCAUGGAAGACUCAUUGUCCAUCACUAAGGAUAUAGGUGAGUAUUAUAUUAACCUCAAGGAUAACUCAAACCUAAUAGCUAAUGGUUAUGAAAAGUUUUGAUAAGAAGUGGCCAUUGAAACCACAAAACAUUUGAAUGAGUUGUAUUUACCAAUGAAAAGUAUUUACAAAAUAUGGUCAAAGUUGACUUAAGGGUUCAAUUCAAAAUAAGUGUUAUGAAAGGAAAGUUUGAAAAUCAAAAGCAUAAUGCUUAGGUUUCUAAUGUUUGAAAACAAAUGCUAAUGUUUGCACAAAAGUUUUGGUUUGGGUUAGAGUGGAGGGAAGAAGAAGAAUGGCUAAGUCCUAAACAUACAAAGAUGAAGGAAAAGAAAUAAGACCACAAAUGGAGUUUUCUUCUUGAGAUCAUAGUGAUGAUCCAAGUAGCUCCCAUCCUUUGGAGUAAGCAAGCAAAUAAGCAAAUACUCAAGCAAUCAAUCAAUCAAGCAAGCUCUUAGGAAUCUUCUAAUGGCUCUUGUAUCUCUUACUUUAGAUGCACAUGACAACGGAUCUUCAAUUUGGCUCAAAUGGGAAUCCCUAGCAAAAGAACACACACAUCAAAAAAUUCCACAAAACAAACAAAGAAUGGACAAGAGUGAGUUUAGAGAUUAGGUCAUUCUAAUUCAUCUUCAACAUUAAGUCCUUUUUACUCCAUUUUUGCAUAGGGAAUGUCCUAAAGUCUAAGUCCUUUUGUCCAUUUGAAUUUGGUUCACAACAAUCAAAACAAAACACAAGCACAAUAGUAUAUACACAAUUAUGUGCUCAAGUGAGCAAAAGGCAAAUUGCAUUAACAUAAACAUGUGCUCAAAUGAGCAAAGGGCAAAAGCAAAAGUGAGCAAAAGGCAAAUUGCAUUAACAUAAACAUGUGCUCAAAUGAGCAAAGGGCAAAAGCAAAUGAAUAAUAUGUACAAGAAUAUUAAAUUGCAUUAAUGUAAAGUGCAAGAAUUAAAUGUUAAUGGUUAAUUGUUAGUGUUAGUGUGCCAUAAGGCAAUUUAGCGCUAUGUUAAGCAAUCGUAAGUGGACUAAUGUAGUAGUCACACCUAUCUGAGGCCGGUCAAUAAAAAUAUAGGCAAUAAACACAAGUUAGAGAUCUUGAUUAGUGAAUCAAGCUUCUACAACUUGCCAUGCCAAAAGAAAAGAAGGAUGAUCUUGUAUUGAUUUAGGUUUUCAUGCUUGAUUAGGAAGUAACCUAUCCUUAAUGCAAACCCAUUCACUUGAUCUUUGGAUCAAGAUGAAUUAGAUUUGAAUCAAGGAAGGUUAAAUCUUCCAUACAUCAAGGCUAACCAUCAAUCUUUAACUCAUUGAUCAAAAAGAAAAAGAUGAAGAAGAAGAUGGAUAAGAAUGUACAUUAAUGGAAUUCAAAUGAAGUAAGAAAAUUGGAUUGACCAAAGACAAAUGGAAUCAAGGUCAAACACUAGUAAACAAAAGCAAAAUGAAACUUAGAAGUUAAGAAACAAAUAAAAUAUUUUUGGUAUUUUUCAAAAUUGAAAUAAUACUUGAAUUAAAAUAAACAAUUAAAGGUCAAACUUCAAAUCCAUCUCAAAUCAACUUUGAAAAGUCCAAAUGGAUCAUCCUAAGUGCAACAAGGUCAAACAAAGUUUGACAAAAAAAAUUCAGCAUUUUUAGAAACCAGAAACUAUUUUUAAUCAAUUAAAAUGAUAAAAAAUAACCUAAUUGAAUUAAAAUCUCAAAUCAAUUAAUAAAUGGAUGAGAAUAUUUUUCAUAGAUCCAUCAUCAUUCAAAGAGGUUGAGAAAAUAUUUUUGUAUUUUUUGGAUAUUGAAAACUAAUUAAAAUGAAUUAAAAAUAACUAGAAAAGAGAAAAUUCAUAAAAAAUAUCAAAUAAUAAAAUAAAAAAUAUUAAAAAUCAUUUUUAGAAACUAGAAAUUAAAAGAGAAAUAGUGUCAUUGGUCUCAUAUUUUUUGGAAUUAAAAUGAGAGAGAUAUGAUUUUUUGAAAUAAAAUGAACUAAAAAAAAUAAAAUGGAUUAAAUCAGAAAAUAGGAAAAAACACACGCGUUGGAUUCAAUUCGUUAAAUGAUCUGGCAGAUCAAACGGCUGUGGCAUGCGUGCGCAUCAUGGACCUAAGUCAACUGAGCAACAUAAACUUUUAAAUAAAGUCAUAAGAUCCAAGAGCCUUGAUUCAAUCUGGGAAUCAUCAUCAACGGCCUGGACCAAAACUGGAAAACGGACGGUGGUGUAUACCACCAUCUUCUCCGGCGAGACCAGAGAUUCCGGCCAAAGUUGCAGAGAAAAAUUCUUAACCAAAUGAAGCGAUCCUCAUAUCAUUGGAAAGCUAGGGUGAUGUACAUCACCCCUGUACCAUUAGUUUCUCCUCUAGAUCCUCAUAGAGAGAGAAAUCAGAGAGAGAAAAUCAUGGUGUUCAAUCUGAACUUCAUGGAUUUGCAAAAUUAAAAGCACAAUUCGAAUGCCUCUGAUGAGAGGACUUCAGCCAAGCAAAGAAACACAAGAAACAAGCAAUAAUUAGGGAGUUUCGAAGAAGAAAAGUUUGAACAUCCACCUCUGAAAUAUGGAUCUGGAAAGCACAAUUCCUCUUAGCUACUGAUUGCAGUGUGAUCUAGAGAUGAAGAUGAAGCAAGGCCAAGGAAUUUUGAGUCUAAUAAUCAACCAAUGAAGUUGAAAAUCAGAUCUGAAAUUUUGAAAUGAAAGAGUGAAUUCCUUUAGGUAUGGCUAUGGAGGGAGUUUUGCAGCAUAACAGGUGCCUUCAGGUUAUUGAAUUAUGAAGCCUAGCACUCUUAUUUAUAGCAAUUGGCAAAGGCAAGCAUGAAAGUUUCAUGUGCAUGAAUGAAGAGGGCCUCCAUGCAUGGGCCUGUACAGGCGCAUGGAGGGCCCAAAUCCUAUUGGUUUAGCAAGCUUAACAUCAACAAAUGAGUUUUGGACUUGCAGAUGAAGUGUAAUUGGCUUAUGCAAUAAGUUUUCAAGUAGUUUCCAAAAAUGCACCAAAAUGUUCUCUUCUUCGAAAAUGCCUUUUUCCAAAAAGAAAACAUGGCCUUAUGGGUAAUGGUUGGAAAGCUCUUGACAUGAGGAUCAAUUGUUAUGUUGAGAAAAACUUCAUUUGGAAUUGGGAAAUUAGUGAAAAUUGGUCAUAAAGUGCAAGGUGCAAAACAUGUGUAUGUGAAAAUUUCCAAAAUGGGCCAACUUCAAGCCCUUCUAUUUCAAUGAUGAAAGCUCCAAAUGACAACACCUUCAAUAUAAAAGUUGUAGAUAUUUCCAAGACAAUCAAGGUUGACUCAAAUUGUGCAUCAUUUGGAUUUUUGAUGAGGAAGUUAUGGGCACUUGAAGUUAGACCUUUUCACAUUUCAAUGCCUUUGGUCCAAAGUGACCUAUAAUGUUUUGCAUUAUCACAUGUAUUUAUUUUAGGAUUAUGAAACUUUGGUCAACAUAACAAAUGAAGUAUACAUCUUAAACUUUCCAAUUCAUUUGAUCCCACCUCAAUAUCAUGAAAAAUGAAUGAGUUAUGUUCUUGGGAAGUUGACCCAAAAUUAGGGUUUCAGUCAAAAUGACCUAUAAUGUUUUGAAAUGGAUGAUGACCUUCCAAGCUUCAAAUAAAUUUUUGAUGAAAAUGAAAGUUGUUUAUAUGGUUCUUAAUAACAUUUUUUCUCUUGGAGUCAUCUCCAUUUGACAAGCACAUUAAAAUUUAGGUCUCAGUGUACUUCAAAAUAGUCAGAUGAAUUAACUGAUUAACUUCUCAAGUCCAAACCUCAUAUCUUGAUGAAUUGAUGAUUAAAGACACUCAAAUAAGCUCAAAUAUGCAUGAAAUGAUGAAUUAAAGGACUUCCCUUGAUUGUAUUUGAUCAUGGGUUGAGGUUGCUUCAUGGGCAAGGCACAGUUGAUGCACAUAUGAAUUAGGGUUUCCUUGGGAAACAAUCCUCAAACCCCUUCGUUUGCUUUGAUCAAAUUGAUAAAUUGAGAUACUUGUGAGGCAUAUAUGAUGGAUGAGAACCUUGUGAACCAUUAUCAUCCUUGCUUUCACCUUCACCUGGCCAUAUCAAUGAGCAUAGGGUCUCCUAGGAGCCUUGGAUCUUAUGAUUGCUCAAGCUACAAAACAAACAAAGUUAGUGACAUAUUUUUGUGCUUUUGGUUAGUAAACAAAAUAAGAAAAGCAAUAAUAUACAAUUCAAGCAUGCUUGGAUGACAUAUUUUUGUGCUUUUGGUUAGUAAACAAAAUAAGAAAAGCAAUAAUAUACAAUUCAAGCAUGCUUGGUGGUCUCAAACCAACUCACACAAGUUCCCACCCUAGGGUUAGGAACCAAGAUGCUAUGAUCCUUGAGGCAAAUGCAAAUGCAAUGAUAUGAUGCCAUGAGGGAUCUUAGGGUCAAAAUUAGGGUCGUACAGAUGUCCCUAUUUAAGGUCAUUCUAGCCAGAGAUGUGAAGAUUAAAAUCUUCGUCUCGACGAGGUAGAAUGGGCUUAAAUAAUAUCAAAGAGACGAAUUUUGGUCCCUAAGAGAUCUCAUGA